rnacentral:rRNA from 1 species
GAUGAACGCUGGCGGCAGGCCUAAUACAUGCAAGUCGAGCGGACGAACGAAGAUCUUUCUCCUCUUAAGUUACCGACGGACGGGUGAUUAAUACGUAUCUAACCGACCUAUAAGGCUAACGUAACUUCGGGAAACCUAAUCUAAUACCGGAUAAUAUGUUGAACGUCAUGGUUCAAUGGUGAAAGAGGUAUUUGCUGUCACUUAUACAUAUAUCCUGGUCGCAUUAGCUAGUUGGUACGGUAACGGCCUACCAAGGCGACGAUGCGUAGCCGAUCUGAGAGGGUGAUCAGCCACACUGGAACUGAGACACGGUCCAGACUCCUACGGGAGGCAGCAGUAGGGAAUAUUCGGCAAUGGGCGAAAGCCUGAUGGAGCCAUGCCGCGUGAGUGAAGAAGGUCUUCGGAUUGUAAAACUCUGUAAGUAGGGAAGAAGAAAAGUGUAAGUAAAUCUGGCCGUUUUGACGGUACCAACUGAGAAAGCACCGGCUAACUACGUG